GUCGUGAGAUGUUGGGUUAAGUCCCGCAACGAGCGCAACCCUUGUCCUAUGUUGCCAGCGCGUAAUGGCGGGGACUCGUAGGAGACUGCCGGGGUCAACUCGGAGGAAGGUGGGGACGACGUCAAGUCAUCAUGCCCCUUAUGUCCAGGGCUGCAAACAUGCUACAAUGGCUGGUACAAAGGGUCGCGAUCCCGCGAGGGGGAGCUAAUCCCAUAAAGCCAGUCUCAGUUCGGAUUGGAGUCUGCAACUCGACUCCAUGAAGUUGGAGUCGCUAGUAAUCCCGGAUCAGCUACGCCGGGGUGAAUACGUUCCCGGGCCUUGUACACACCGCCCGUCACACCACGAAAGUUGGUAACACCCGAAGCCAGUGGCCCAACCGCAAGGAGGGAGCUGUCGAAGGUGGGACCAGCGAUUGGGGUGAAGUCGUAACAAGGUAGCCGUACCGGAAGGUGCGGCUGGAUCACCUCCUUUCUAAGGAGCACAACCAAAUCCCUAGUGACCGUUCGUGUCGCUGGAGGAGGUUGGCAUCCCAGUUGAUGCAUUGGUUACUCAGGCCUUCCUCGAGCGCGUCACUUGUAGACCAGUGAUCUUCGGAUCCCGUGCCUCGUGACGUGCGAACGGGAGGUCUUCGUCCUUUCUCUGUUCCGUUUUGAAGGUGCGAUCGCACCGUCGGACCCCAAUCGGGCCGGCGGUGUUGUCGCGUCUUCGGGUCUCGACGCCGCUCCCUGGUCCGAUCUUCGGAUCACGUGCAUGCGUCGAAGCGCACCUUGAGAAUUCGAUAGCGAGCACGAGCAUCUUUAAGAGCUGAUGUUCCAAGCUACAAAGAGCCAACGGUGGAUGCCUUGGCGCCUGAUGCCGAUGAAGGACGUGGGUGGCUGCGAAAAGCCACGGGGAGCCGCCUACCAGGCUUCGAUCCGUGGAUGU
rnacentral:sRNA from 1 species